AGCGAACGCUGGCGGCAGGCCUAACACAUGCAAGUCGAACGAACCUUUCGGGGUUAGUGGCGGACGGGUGAGUCACACGUUGGAACGUGCCUUUAGGUUCGGAACUACUCAGGGACACUUGUGCUAAUACCGAAUGUGCCCUUCUGGGGAACUAUUUAUCGCCUUUCGAGCCGCCCGCGUCGGAUUAGCUCGUUGGUUGAGGUAAUGGCUCACCAAGGCGACGAUCAGUAGCUGGUCUGAGAGGAUGAUCAGCCACAUUGGGCGUGAGACACGGCCCAGACUCCUGCCGGAGGCAGCAGUGGGGAAGCAUGCGCCAUGGGCGAGAGACUGACGCGGCCAUGCCGCGUGGAGGAUGAUGGUCUUAGGCUUGUGAACUUCUUUCACCGGGGACGAUAAUGACGGUCCCCGGAGUAGAGGCCCCUGCUAACUGCGUG
rnacentral:rRNA from 1 species